CCUGAAUUUUAAUUCUUGAAAAUUUUGUUGCAAGUUUGUGUUUUGGUUCUGGAAUCAAUUUUAUUAUGUGAUUUAGUUUUGUAUUGAUAUUUUUUGUAUCUGAUAUUGGGUGAAGAAUAGUUAUACCUUUGAGAAGGUUUUGGGUAUUCAUAAAAGUAACAAAAUAGUAUGUUGCCAUAUAAACAUGAAAAUAAAUACGUUAUAGCAAGUUUUAUUUAUUUUUUCCCUUUCCCAUUUUCCCUUUAUAGUUCUUCACCUUCAGCAAGCAAGGAUGUUAGUUGGUAGUAGAAUUAGGACAUGCACGUUUAUUACAUUGAUCUAUCACUCACAAUUAUUUUCUUUAUUAUUAAUUAAUCGCAUCAUUUUUGAAUGAUUUCAUAUUGAAGGGUAAGAAGUUAUUUAGAAUCUAAUUGAUUAAUGAUUUGGACAAUGUGUAAUUUGUGUUUGUGGUUGUGAAUAAGGUGGUGCCAAGAAAGUUGUUUUUUCUGUCCAAAGAAAGUUGUUCUUCAACAUCAUUCCUAGCAGAACUAGAGCUGCCAAGGCAUUGGAUGAAAUGAGGAGAAAUAUUACUCUCACGGUUUUUCUCCCUCCCUCUCAUUGUGAUUUUUAUUUUUGUGAUGUUAAUUGUUGUAAAAUAUGUUUAGAGAAUUGUGAGCAUUCCAUUAGUAUUGCACUUUAGUCUCUUGCUGCUGCAUUUCAAUUUUGUCACUCAAUAUUCAUAAUACUAAGAGUUCCUUUUAAAUUACUUUCUUAAAAGUAAUAAUAAUGUUCUUGUGCAUCAUAAAUAUCUUCAAAAAAAUUGUUAAAAAGGAAAUGUAUUUGCAUUUUGAAUGAAAAUGCUGAUGAGGAAAAUGGUUUAAAUUUAUAGACCAUUUUAAGAAUUUAAUAUUCAAGACAUAAUAUAAAUCAGGCUCAGGAAAAGAUCAACAACCAUCUGCAUAUGAAAUCUUGAUUUUUCAUCCUUCAUCAUUUACUAAUGAAUCAUGCUCUUUUUCAUCCUAUUUAUAGUUUUUCAUUUCAAGGAGUGAUAAAUAGCUAGCAGGGGUAUUCUAUGUAAUUCAGAUCAAGAUACUCUUAUCAAGGCUUACUUUCUGCUACGAGCCAGUAUAUUGAUUUGACGACCUCCUG